CAAAUUUCCAAAAUCAAAAUUUGAAAUACGAAUUAUACGAUUUAGGGAUGCUCUUCUCGACGUGCUGCGGUGCUCUCCUAUGUCUUCUCUGUUUGUUCAUCAUCGUCCGGUCACUCGACUCACUCCACAAUCUCCACAGGUCCACCUCCGCCCAGACCCUUCACCGGCCGCUUGAAAUUUGAAUCUUCAAUUCUUCAUAAGUCGGUUGAAGUCGAACACUCGAACUUCGAACUCGAAGUGUAAGUCGUGUGACUCUGCAGUAGCGCCUGCAGCCUACUCCACUGGACCGCUGCUUGUCGUCGCCCGUUGAGGACCUAUCACCUGCUGUAUAGUCUGUUUGGGGCCGCACAAUUUAGAUAAAAUUUCUGUAAGUUACAUGUACAUUAUUCACAAUUUCUGAUUAAUUCGUUUAUUUAUGUUUAGGCUUAUUAAUUUAUUAUAAUUACUUAAUUUUUUUAUUGAACAGUAUUUUAAACUUUAAAGCGGUAGGGGCGGAGGCCGGACCGGAGAGGCGGGAGAGCUUUCAACUUUGUUGGGACUUAGUUCCUGGCUCCUGCAGUCUGCAGGUUAGAAUUUAGCCUUCUUGUAUGUGUAAUCCAUUGGGCAAUUUAUGUUUGUUACUUGUUAGUUUGUAUUAUAGGUAACUCAAUAUUUAUCCAGUAGUAAGGGGUGAAGCCCAGCGCCCUAAAAUUGAAUGAGUCCCAGUGUCCCACCAAAAUGCUAGCUGCCAUUGCUUCAAAAUUCUAGACUAAUCUGAGCAAUUCCAAUUUGAUAUAUCAUUAUUAUCAUCGUUCGAAUAUCCUCAGGGCUUCACCACUGCUCCAUAUGUGGCCAAAAAUUUCCAUGUUUUUGUAAGUUCUAAUUUUUAAAAAAUUUUCCUUUUCACUUUUUGUAAGUAAGUAAUUUGGUGUUUCUUUUUCAAUAAUUAUUGGUUCUUAAGCAUUCCAGUUGUAGUUGUAUUGUUUGAUAAGAUAACCCAUGCUUUCUGUAGGAACAGCAAAUAAUUGCAUUUCUAGAUCAUAGGAAUGGGUCAUAAAUUAGUAAGUUGGCAGUGAAUUAGUGCCAGUGUAAUAUGUCUGAUAAUGUUUGUAUCUCAUCUUAAUUUGGGAAUCAGAACAAUGUAAUGAAAUUUAAACUAAUUCUUACAUAAGUCAAGUAAAAAUUGGGAGGUAAGGCUAUUGGACAAGGAACUUAGUUUGAUUGAUAUUAGUUACUAUCUGUCUGUGUUGUGCUGUAUGAGUUUUAGUGGACAUAUGUUUUGUCAAAUUGACUGAGUGUGGAUAAACCAGAUUUCAAAUGUCACUACAACCAGUUAGUUAGGCAUCUUGUAGUUUCGGAGACUUGGUCCGUUCAGAAUUUCAUUUUGGCAUUACAAUUAAACUAACUUCGUGUCCCCGGUUUAGCUGUGGUGUGUAAGUGUAAUAAGAUUGUGGUUUUUGCUUUGGCCCCAGUAGAAUUGUUUUAGAAAAUAUAUGACAGUGCCACUGAAAUAUUUUGGGAUCUAUUAAGUUGUUAAAAUGCAUCUUCUGAAUUCUAGAAAACCCAUAUUGCUUGAGGGUCUAGUUAGCUUAGCAAGGCUCAAGCUUUGUCCAAAAUGGAAUAUGUAUUACUGCUGAUGCAGAAACUUUUAUAAUGAACAAAUGGUUUAUCUUUUUCAAUUUUCAGAAUUCAUACAAUCAAAAGCGUUGCUAAAACGAAACUAAUAAGCACGCUUUUCCUCAACAUUUUGUAUGUAUUUCAUGAAUAAAAUCUAAAUUUUUCCUUUAUUUUUGCUCGAUGAAAUAAUCAAAUGGUGAAGGGUAUAUACAUAGGUGAGGAGGAGGAUGGGAUAUUACGUGCAUGUGAAGCUAUUUUACUGGAUUCUAACAGAACCAUUCACAUGGGAGUUGGGAGAAGAUAAGUUUGCAGAUAGUAGAUGAAGAGUUCAUGGAAAUUCUAAGAAAGUAACUAUGCUAUCAAUAAUUUAUGAGAAAAGUAAAUACUGCAUAAAUGAAAAUUAGUAUAUAUAAAUACCUUUGUUAUAUCUCAUGUAAUUCAUAACGUUAAUUUCCUUUUUUCUAAGAGAACUUGUGUAUAUUAUAAAAUGCAACUUGACAUAGUGGAUUUGGAGUCACUAAGGGUAAAGAGAAUGGGAUACAUUUUAGUGGUAACUGGCUGUUACUAGGAUGAAACUGAGGCAGUUGACUAGGA
rnacentral:lncRNA from 1 species